rnacentral:rRNA from 1 species
UUCUCAGUGAACCUGCGGAAGGAUCAUUA